rnacentral:rRNA from 1 species
AUUGAACGCUGGCGGCAUGCCUAACACAUGCAAGUCGAACGCGAAAGGGUUUCGGCCUGAGUAGAGUGGCGGACGGGUGAGUAAAGCAUCGGAAUCUGCCUUGAGGUGGGGGACAACCCAGGGAAACUUGGGCUAAUACCGCAUGAUCUCGGGAGAGCAAAGUGGGGGACCCUUCGGGGCCUCAUGCCUUGGGAGGAGCCGAUGUCCGGUUAGCUAGUUGGUGGGGUAAGGGCGUACCAAGGCGACGAUCGGGAGCUGGUCUGAGAGGAUGAUCAGCCACACGGGGACUGAGACACGGCCCAGACUCCUACGGGAGGCAGCAGUGCGGAAUAUUCGACAAUGGGGGCAACCCUGAUCCAGCAAUGCCGCGUGUGUGAAGAAGGCCUGCGGGUUGUAAAGCACUUUUGUCCGGGAAGAAAGGACCUGACCUAAUACGUUGGGGGGAUGACGGUACCGGAAGAAUAAGCACCGGCUAACUUCGUGCCAGCCGCCGCGGUAAAAC